AUGGGUCUUAGUGCAUUCUCUCAUACACUCAUCCUUCUAGGUUCACUCUCAAUAUUCAUAGUGAGCCCUUCCUAUGGUUUUAAUCCAAGGAAGCUUGUUAAUGUAACUUCAUACUCCUCACCUGAUCAGAUUGGUCACCAUCUGUGGCCACUUGGUAUGGAUCUCCCGACGGGCGACGGAAGCGAAGGCGGUGCUUGCUGUGGCUCUUGCUAUGAGGUUAGGUGCACAGGAAAUUCUGCAUGUUCAGGAAACCCUGUGAGAGUAGUUAUCACUGAUGAGUGUGCUGGUUGUGGCUCAGAUGCUCAAUAUCAUUUUGAUUUGAGUGGCACUUCUUUUGGCUCCAUGGCUAUUUCAGGUCUAGAUCAAGAGCUACGUAAUGCUGGAAAAAUAAACAUGGAACAUAGAAGAGUUGAAUGCAACUAUGCAGGUAGAUCAAUAGCUUUCCACGUGGACUCUGGAUCAAACCAUGAAUAUUUUGCAACAUUGAUUGAAUAUGAGGAAGGAGAUGGUGAUCUUAACAAAGUUGAAGUGAAGGAAGCAUU